AAGUGAUACAGAAUGACGUCAGGGUGAUACAGAGAUACAGAACGGCGUCCAUCUUUGAUUUGAUACAGAUAUUAUCAUCUCUACAGAGGAUGAAAUCCAUAAAUAAAUAUUAUUUGAAUAAUUCUCUAUUAUAUCAGUGUUUAAUGAUAUUUAGAUAGUUUUUAAUAUUGGUUUCAAUUGACCUACAGAUUUUUUGGUUAUUUUUUUUUGACUGAAAAUUGUACUCAACUCAAAAUGAAUUGAGGUUAUGAAAAUAUUAACCAUCGAUAACCAAUUUUUGGAAUUUUUAGUCUGAAUCUAAAUUUAAAAGAGGAAUAGGACAGUUUUUAUCUCAUCUCUCCGAUCAUUUUGAUUUAAAUUAUAUGUGGAAAUAAUUAAAGAAUGAAACUGUUAAUUUGGUAAACAGAUACAGGAAUUUGGAGUUGCUUGGUAUGGAUUGUAAGACACAGAAGAAGACGCAUUUAGAUGUUUUUGGAUCUUGAAUCUUGAUGCUCACAGAAAAGCAAGUCAACCAGACAGGGUUUGUUGGAGGCGAACGACAUCCACAACAAUGGGAUAGCGGGGUUCGGGCGCCAACCCGACAGUGACAGUGGUGCACUGCGAGAUCCACCACGGACAGACGGGUGGCUUGUACGGGCUCGGCCAGUUCAUCGACAACCGCAUCCAUUCCCACAGCAACCCCACCGCAACGAGAUCUACAACGGCCAUCAGGGUGGCGUCUUCAUCUUGGGCGAAGGCCGCGGCUUGAUCGAGCAUAACAAUAUCUAUGUGACUCAAUGUGGAUUGUGAAGACACAGAAGGGGACGCAUUUGGAUCUUGAAUCAUGAAUGUUGAAUCUUGAUGCUCACAGAAAAGGAAGUCAACCAGACAGGAUUGAGACCACAAUAGGAGGCAUAAAGUCCCUUGAUAAUUUUGAAAACAGAGACGUUAUAGUGAGGUCCACGUUAUAAUGGCAGUGGAGGAAAGUAGGAGAACAACGUUGCCAAUUAUCUGCCUUGCCACUGCCUUCUGAAGAGGAUAGCUUGGUCAAUUUUACCACCAACUUUGGUCAAUAUCUAUAGUUAGUUCCUAAAGGUAGUGGAGAAAAAUAGAAGAACAACAUUGCC
rnacentral:misc_RNA from 1 species